UGAGGAAUAUUGGUCAAUGGGCGAGAGCCUGAACCAGCCAAAUCGCGUGAAGGAAGACUGCCUUAUGGGUUGUAAACUUCUUUUAUACAGGAAUAAAAAAGGGGACGUGUCCCUUAUUGCAUGUACUGUAUGAAUAAGCAUCGGCUAACUCCGUGCCAGCAGCCGCGGUAAUACGGAGGAUGCGAGCGUUAUCCGGAUUUAUUGGGUUUAAAGGGUGCGCAGGCGGGCUUUUAAGUCAGCGGUGAAAUCUCGGGGCUUAACUCCGAAACUGCCGUUGAAACUGGGAGUCUUGAGUAUGGAUGAAGUAGGCGGAAUUCGUUGUGUAGCGGUGACAUGCUUAGAUAUAACGAGGAACUCCGAUUGCGUAGGCAGCUUACUAAGCCAUAACUGACGCUCAAGCACGAAAGCGUGGGGAUCAAACAGGAUUAGAUACCCUGGUAGUCCACGCCGUAAACGAUGAUUACUAGUUGUAUGCGAUAUACCGUAUGUGACUAAGCGAAAAGCGAUAAAGUAAUCCACCUGGGGAGUACGCCGGCAACGGUGAAACUCAAAGGAAUUGACGGGGUCAUAGCUG
rnacentral:rRNA from 1 species